CAGGCAGCAGAUCUCCCUUGGGCAGCCCUGGGACUCGCUGUGCCUCCUUGGGACAGCUCUGGGGUGCAUCGCCCGCUCUGUCCCACCCUCAGACACGAGCCAGGGCUCACUGCUGGCCGGCCUGGACAGGGGGGAGAUGCCGGGAUUUACCCUGUAAUCUUAUUUACAAGCUGAAUACCAAGUGCUGGAGUAAUCAGUAGGUGAUCAAUAAACAAGAGAGGCUCCUUGAGCUGCAGCCAUUUGAAGUCAAUCUGUUCCCUUGCACGCAGGUGUGGGAAGCAGCCUGAAUGGGAGGCACCAGCUAAAUAUAAACUCUGAUUGGAAAGAUGAGUGAGGGAAAGUGGUUUCAUUGUUUGGGAGCAAGGACCUCCAAACCAUUCACUGGAAAAGACUCCACCAGGCUCAGCAGAGCCAG